rnacentral:ncRNA from 1 species
AAGCCCUGCGUGGGAGAGCGCGGAGCUGUCCGCCGCCGAAGGAGCAACCCACCCCGGAAACUCUCAGGCAUCCAGGACCGCACAGGGAUC